UACGUAGGGUGCAAGCGUUAAUCGGAAUUACUGGGCGUAAAGCGUGCGCAGGCGGUUAUGUAAGACAGAUGUGAAAUGCCCGGGCUUAACCUGGGAACUGCAUUUGUGACUGCAUGGCUAGAGUUUGGCAGAGGGGGGUAGAAUUCCCCGUGUAGCAGUGAAAUGCGUAGAUAUGUGGAGGAACACCGAUGGCGAAGGCAGCCCCCUGGGUCAAGACUGACGCUCAUGCACGAAAGCGUGGGGAGCAAACAGG
rnacentral:rRNA from 1 species